GAUGAACGCUGGCGGCGUGCUUAACACAUGCAAGUCGAGCGAGUGAGUUCUUCGGAACGAUCUAGCGGCGGACGGGUGAGUAACACGUGGGCAACCUGCCUCAUAGAGGGGAAUAGCCUCCCGAAAGGGAGAUUAAUACCGCAUAACAUCAUUGAAGGGCAUCCUUCGAUGAUCAAAGGAGCAAUCCGCUAUGAGAUGGGCCCGCGGCGCAUUAGCUAGCUGGUGAGGUAACGGCUCACCAAGGCGACGAUGCGUAGCCGACCUGAGAGGGUGAUCGGCCACAUUGGGACUGAGACACGGCCCAGACUCCUACGGGAGGCAGCAGUGGGGAAUAUUGCACAAUGGGGGAAACCCUGAUGCAGCAACGCCGCGUGAGUGAUGACGGCCCUCGGGUUGUAAAGCUCUGUCUUUGGGGACGAUAAUGACGGUACCCAAGGAGGAAGUCACGGCUAACUACGUGCCAGCCGCCGCAGUAA
rnacentral:rRNA from 1 species